GACGAACGCUGGCGGCGUGCUUAACACAUGCAAGUCGAUCGGAGCGGCGAACGGGUGAGUAACGCGUGAGUAACUGCCCCCCUCUCUGGGAUAACAGUUGGAAACGGCUGCUAAUACCGGAUAGUGGGGGCUGACUCGCGUCCUAUCAGCUUGUUGGUGGGGUAGUGGCCUACCAAGGCGACGACGGGUAGCCGGCCUGAGAGGGCGACCGGUCACAUGGGGCUGAGAUACGGCCCAAACGUCUACGGUGUGCAGCAGUGGGGAAUAGUGCACAACGGGGGAAGCCCUGAUGCAGCAACGCCGCGGGCGGGAUGAUGGCCUUCGGGUUGUAAACCGCUUGCAGCCAGGACGCGGUAGUGGGAGAAGAAGCACCGGCUAACUACGUGCCAGCCGCCGCGGUAAUUC
rnacentral:rRNA from 1 species